rnacentral:rRNA from 1 species
GACGAACGCUGGCGGCGUGCUUAACACAUGCAAGUCGAACGGGCCUUGUCCCCUUUUUUUUUGGGGGUGGGGUUAGUGGCGAACGGGUGAGUAACACGUGAGUAACCUGCCCCUCACUUCUGGAUAGCCGCUUGAAAGGGUGGCUAAUACGGGGUGUUCUGGCCUGCUCGCAUGGGUGGGUUUGGAAAGAUUCGACCGGUUUUGGUUGUUUUGGUGGGGGAUGGGCUCGCGGCCUAUCAGCUUGUUGGUGGGGUGAUGGCCUGCCAAGGCUUUGACGGGUAGCCGGCCUGAGAGGGUGGGCGGUCACACUGGGACUGAGACACGGCCCAGACUCCUACGGGAGGCAGCAGUGGGGAAUAGUGCACAAUGGGCGCAAGCCUGAUGCAGCGACGCCGCGUGAGGGAUGGAGGCCUUCGGGUUGUGAACCUCUUUCGCCAGUGAAGAAGGUCCUGCUCUUUGUGGUGGGGUUGACGGUAGCUGGGUUAAUGAAGCGCCGGCUAACUACGUG